rnacentral:rRNA from 1 species
AUGAAUAAAGCCAUUGAAUCAACUAAACAAACAGAUAUAAGGGGAGUAAAAGUAAAAAUUGCAGGUGGGAGGAAAAAAAUUGCACGUGCCGAAUCCAUAAAGAAGGGCAGACUUCCUCUCCAAACAAUUCAUGCUAAAAUUGAUUAUUGCUGCUAUCCAAUUCGAACUAUCUAUGGAGUAUUACGUGUAAAAAAUUGGAUAUUCGUAGAAGAGAAAAAAUUUCUACAAACGAUACGUACGUGCACCAAAAAACCUGAUAGCACACUUGCACCAUCUUGUCACGUACUUACAAAAAAGAACUGA